CACAUGGGCAAGGAUAUCUCCAGGCUGGAGAUGUCCCUGCGGAGUUGGGUGGAGAUGAGGGGUUGGCCAGGAGAUCAACUUUGGAAAAAGCCUCUCUAGGAUGCUCUGCCUUUUGGAGGCAAUUCAAAGCAGACAACCUGAAAUGGAAACAAAGAAGCAAAAAUGACUGAAGGGCACAUCCUUUGCCUUUCCCACGUGGAACUGGUGACUCGGACCCGUGUCCCGUAAGCCUCCAAGCUGAAUGAGAGAGAGAAGACCCAAGAGAGGACUCGCUGGAGGAGACAUGGAGGCCUGGAGCUGCGGGGCUGCCUCGUGUCCCCUGGGUUUUCUUAGAGACAAGGAGGGGGACACACCCCCAGUGCUGAGGAAGUGCUCCUCUGAUGUUUCAAUGCUGUGACUUUGAUUCCUUUGCAGUUGAGUGUAAGCUGUGAGAUUAGGUACCAAAGCCAAAGGAAAUGGAAGAAGUAGAGAUUUAGCCAACAGGUAGUAAAGAUUAAAUUUUUGUCCUAGGUGCAAAGUGAUGUGGGAGGCAGACUUGUUGUUGCAUGAAUUAUUGUUCAGCUCUUUGGACAGCUCUGUCCCGCAGUUUUCUGUCAGGAUGGAGAUGCUGUAUAUCUGUGCUAUUCAAUAUGGUGACUGGUGGUCCCCUGUGGCUCUUGAGUCCCCAAAAUGUGUUAAUGACACUGAGGAAUCAAAGUUUUAAUU
ensembl:lncRNA